UAGCCUUUUUUCCUUAUUCCUCUAAAUCGUCUCUUAAACUUAGAACAUAUCCAUUCCCUUCUCUUAUCCUCGAACCUUCGAACCCUAACCUCUUCGGCGAGUCACAAGGCAGUCCGUCAAGGCUCCAACAAAGGCUACCAAAUUGCUUCUCCAAUAUACAUCCUCUAGCUCACACAUAGCCUUGGGUAAGUAAUUUAAUGGCAGCGACAAAGAUUUAGCAUUUGGCUUCUCUGUAUUCUUACCAGUUGAUGUGAGAUCACAAAGUUCUUUGUGCUUGGGUGAAGUAAAUGAGCAAAGGAAAGACGAAGCAGUGAAGACCUCGCUUAAUUUUGGAUAGUUGCCGAAUUUUAGAUCUUCUAGGAUCUUUUCUUUUCGAUCAUUUUGAAACUUAUGCGAACUCUUGAAUUGUAAAACAGUUUGAUAUUUUGCUUUUAUUGAUAUUAUUAGUUGGAUAAUUUGGAUUGUGCUUAUGAAUUGUUUCAUUUCGUGA